GUGUCAGCAGCCGCGGUAAUACGGAGGGUGCAAGCGUUAUCCGGAUUCACUGGGUUUAAAGGGUGCGUAGGCGGCUUAAUAAGUCAGUGGUGAAAGCUCGCAGCUUAACUGUGAAACUGCCAUUGAAACUGUUUAGCUUGAAUCUGGUUGAAGUGAGCGGAAUAUAACAUGUAGCGGUGAAAUGCUUAGAUAUGUUAUAGAACACCGAUUGCGAAGGCAGCUCACUAAGCCAACAUUGACGCUGAGGCACGAAAGCGUGGGUAGCGAACAGGAUUAGAUACCCCGGUAGUCC
rnacentral:rRNA from 1 species